GAAAAACCAGAGAAGGAAUGGGG
rnacentral:rRNA from 1 species